UCCUUGUUAGCUCAGUUGGUAGAGCGUUCGGCUUUUAAUACCGAAAUGUCAGGGGUUCGACCCCCCUACGAGGAG
rnacentral:tRNA from 1 species